GCACAUGGUGAAUGCCUUGGCGAUAAGAGGCGAUGAAGGGCGUAGUGAUCUGCGAAAAGCGUUGGCGAGUUGAUGAACGAGCUUUGACCCAACGAUACCCGAAUGGGGGAACCCACCUGCCAUAAGGUAGGUAUCUUUAAGUGAAUACAUAGCUUAAAGAGGCGAACCGGGAGAACUGAAACAUCUAAGUACCCCGAGGAAAAGAAAUCAACCGAGAUUCCCUUAGUAGCGGCGAGCGAAAGGGGAAGAGCCAGCAAUCUUUAUGUUUAGUGUUAGAGGAACGGUCUGGAAAGUCCGGCGAUAGAAGGUGAUAGCCCUGUACUCGAAAACACUUUGCAAGAACUAGGUUUGCAACAAGUAGGUCGGAGCACGUGUAACUUUGACUGAACAUGGGGGGACCAUCCUCCAAGGCUAAAUACUCCUAACUGACCGAUAGUGAACUAGUACCGUGAGGGAAAGGCGAAAAGAACCCCGG
rnacentral:rRNA from 1 species